rnacentral:rRNA from 1 species
UGGCGGACGGGUGAGUAACGCGUGGGGAACCUGCCCUGUACCGGGGGAUAGCAGCCGGAAACGGCUGAUAAUACCGCAUAAGCGCACGAAUGUCGCAUUACAUGGUGUGAAAAACUCCGGUGGUAUAGGAUGGACCCGCGUCUGAUUAGCCUGUUGGUGGGGUAAAAGCCUACCAAAGCGAAGAUCAGUAGCCGAGUUGAGAGACUGACCGGCCACAUUGGGACUGAGACACGGCCCAGACUCCUACGGGAGGCAGCAGCC